UGUCCUUGGGACAAUGCAUAGUAAUUCCCUUGCAUCCCAUUGCUAUCCCUAGUAGCUGCACCAUUUUGUGCCAGGGUCACUCAACAGCUCGUCUGGCUUCAGGGGAAUUAAAGCCUGCCUGGGAUGUAUCCAGAUGAUAAAAGAAUCAGAUUGCUUGGAGGGAUUUCAGUGGUGAUGGUGAUGUCUGCUGUUGAAAUGGUUCCUCUGACAGUAGUUUGCUCUCCCAACAGCUUCUUGAGCCAUGGUUCUUCUCUGACAAGGAGUGGGAGAGAGAUAGGGUCUUGCAGGUCAGCUCCCAGCUGCUUGUCACCUAUCGGGAGACAGUCUAUUGCAGACUGCAAGAGCCUUUUGAGCAAUUUGGGUCCCUGCUGGGGCUGCUGGUGCCCUACACCUGCACCACUCUGGCCACAUCCCACCUGUGGGCCGCUGAGUGCAUUGCCUGCUUUCUCCACCUACAAGAUCAGGGCACUCUGAGCCAGUCCAUGACCAUGGAUGCAGUGGAGGAGAAGCUGAGAGGUCUCCAUGAGGAGCUCAAAGCCUAGAGUCCUGAGGCCUGUGCUUAUAGCAUCCUCCCACAUGGCAAAGGUCACUGGCAAAUACUUUCCAUUCAACCAGGCCCUUGACUUUGUGGGGAGCAUAAUGGAUGGCAUGGUGUCUGCCAGCCUCAUGUGUGCCACAGCAGCAGGACAUUAGUUCAUUACAAUCCUUAGGAAACAUGGAUGUCCUUCUGAAUGAGGUAAAAUUGAAGCUGAGGAGGCUUUCUGCAUUUGCUUUAUGCUUUUUAAACACUGCUUUCAUGUGGAGUGAACAGCAAUCUUACUGUUGAUCCCUGGACACGAAGCAAGUUCUAUUUCCCUUACUAGCCAGAGAUGGGGAAGAGCAGAUCAGCUGCAUCCAAGAGAAAGAGCACAGGAAGGCAAGAUGGGGA